rnacentral:rRNA from 1 species
UGGGAAUCUUGCACAAUGGGCGAAAGCCUGAUGCAGCAACGCCGCGUGCGGGAAGACAGCCCUAGGGUUGUAAACCGCUUUCAGCAGGGAAGAAACUGACGGUACCUGCAGAAGAAGAUGCGGCCAACUACGUGCCAGCAGCCGCGGUGACACGUAGGCAUCAAGCGUUAUCCGGAUUUAUUGGGCGUAAAGAGCUCGUAGGCGGUUCGGUAAGUCGGGUGUGAAAACUCUGGGCUCAACCCAGAGAGGCCACUCGAUACUGCUGUGACUAGAGUGCGGUAGGGGAGCGGGGAAUUCCUGGUGUAGCGGUGAAAUGCGCAGAUAUCAGGAGGAACACCAGUGGCGAAGGCGCCGCUCUGGGCCGUAACUGACGCUGAGGAGCG